CCCCUGCUGUGCAGUGUGAUGCGGCAUGGGGGGGCAGCAGUCUGUCCUUCCUACUUUUGAUGGACCACUGUGAGGCUGCUGGGGGGCGGCCCUUGGUGCCCGUGAACCUCUCAAGGCUGUUUCCAGCCUUUCUGUUCACGAUGAACACUGAGGUGGCAUCCUCGUCCUCAAAGGGUAGUUUCCUUCUUCAAGGGUCAUUUUUGGGGGCCUUGAAGGCCUAUUGAUGCCCUCCCCCUGGUGGGCUUGCCACCUCUUUUAUUCUGGGUGCUUGGGGACCUGGCCUCUGGGGGAGGGGUUCCUCCCCCUCUCUGCUCCUGCUCAGGGCCAGACACCCAGCCGCCUGGAAGCCCCUCGCUGACCUGAAUUGAGAGCCUUCUGUCCUUCCUGAGCCUCUACUCCCCUGUGUGGGGAGCCCCAGUUUAGAGGCUGGCCUGGGAGAGGGCCCCUUUCUCUGCUUUGUGACCUGGGACAUCUGCUGCCCCCCUGCCUUGGACACACCACAGUGAGGUGGAGGUGCAGCUCCUGGCUGGGUCCCCCAUUUCCUGCAGCUCAGCCCCAGGAGCUGCAUUCCAGGACCCUGGCGCUGGGGCCACACUCUGGAGGAGGCCAUGGGCUGGGCCUGACCUUCUACUCCAUUGUCUCUGGGGACGAUGGGUCGCCCAGGACCCCCAGGGGAGAAGGUCUCUGGCACCCAGCUGUCGGGGGCCCCCCAGGCCCCCAGAGACGCCCCUGGUGAUGCCAUGCCUGGUCCUGAGGACUCUGACCUGGUUCCCUCAGUGACCUUGGCGGCGGCUCUCACCCUGUUGUUCCUCCUGCUGUCAGCCUGGCUGGUAUGGGGCAGGCCCUGCCGGACCUCCUGCUAACCCGGGUUCCCAGUUUUCGGCGGACACAACAUCUUUGUUUGUAUGUGGUGC